rnacentral:rRNA from 1 species
UGCGCAGGCGGUGAUGUAAGACAGAUGUGAAAUCCCCGGGCUCAACCUGGGAACUGCAUUUGUGACUGCAUCGCUGGAGUGCGGCAGAGGGGGAUGGAAUUCCGCGUGUAGCAGUGAAAUGCGUAGAUAUGCGGAGGAACACCGAUGGCGAAGGCAAUCCCCUGGGCCUGCACUGACGCUCAUGCACGAAAGCGUGGGGAGCAAACA